GGUUUUCGGAUCGUAAAGCUCUGUUGUUAGGGAAGAACAAGUACCGUUCGAAUAGGGCGGUACCUUGACGGUACCUAACCAGAAAGCCACGGCUAACUACGUGCCAGCAGCCGCGGUAAUACGUAGGUGGCAAGCGUUGUCCGGAAUUAUUGGGCGUAAAGGGCUCGCAGGCGGUUUCUUAAGUCUGAUGUGAAAGCCCCCGGCUCAACCGGGGAGGGUCAUUGGAAACUGGGGAACUUGAGUGCAGAAGAGGAGAGUGGAAUUCCACGUGUAGCGGUGAAAUGCGUAGAGAUGUGGAGGAACACCAGUGGCGAAGGCGACUCUCUGGUCUGUAACUGACGCUGAGGAGCGAAAGCGUGGGGAGCGAACAGGAUUAGAUACCCUGGUAGUCCACGCCGUAAACGAUGAGUGCUAAGUGUUAGGGGGUUUCCGCCCCUUAGUGCUGCAGCUAACGCAUUAAGCACUCCCCCUGGGGAG
rnacentral:rRNA from 1 species